AGUGAACGCUGGCGGUAGGCCUAACACAUGCAGGUCGAACGGCAGCACAGUAAGAGCUUGCUCUUACGGGUGGCGAGUGGCGGACGGGUGAGGAAUACAUCGGAAUCUACUUUUUCGUGGGGGAUAACGUAGGGAAACUUGCGCUAAUACCGCAUACGACCUACGGGUGAAAGCAGGGGAUCUUCGGACCUUGCGCGAUUGAAUGAGCCGAUGUCGGAUUAGCUAGUUGGCGGGGUAAAGGCCCACUAAGGCGACGAUCCGUAGCUGGUCUGAGAGGAUGAUCAGCCACACUGGAACUGAGACACGGUCCAGACUCCUACGGGAGGCAGCAGUGGGGAAUAUUGGACAAUGGGCGCAAGCCUGAUCCAGCCAUACCGCGUGGGUGAAGAAGGCCUUCGGGUUGUAAAGCCCUUUUGUUGGGAAAGAAAAGCAGCAGGUUAAUACCCCGCUGUUCUGACGGUACCCAAAGAAUAAGCACCGGCUAACUUCGUG
rnacentral:rRNA from 1 species